rnacentral:lncRNA from 1 species
GGGCUCCUAUACCAUAAGCUACCCACCAUUUCAGUGGAUCCAACUUCAAUCUAUCUCGUAUAGAAUCUUCAUCACCAAACUCUUCAAAGCAUCCAAAAAAAUUAGUAAACUCUAGUGUUACUGCUGUUCGUGUUUCUGCAUCAGGAAAAAGAUGUUUGAUACAAUUUUUUGUCAUUUUAACAAUAUCUGCAUCGUGAUUUGGUGUUUGAAGAUACGGA